GCUCCCGCUGGAACGUUUUGAUGUCCAACUCAAGGGAAUCCAGCUACAAUUCGGCCGUUGACCCUGAAUCCAUCGGGCCCGUCAUCUUGAAAUCGUCGGCAAUCAACACCAUAGAGGGUUGGGAGGGUGGGAGGACUAGUCACCGCCGCCUACGCCGCCGCCAGCGCCCACCUCCGAUGGUACACGAGCAGAUCACAGGAGCUGGGAUUUCACUACCUGAAAAGUGUUCCCGGGCAACCAGACUGUUCUUCUGCUUGUACCCGAACUCUGCCACUCUGGCCGCCACCAGAUGCCACUGCCGCUAGAUCGGGGUGAGAUGAGGGAUUUUACAGCCGGAACCAACCUCUUCUACCCCCAAUCAACCAUGCCGCCGAGGAAGGACUGGCUCUGAUACCAAUUGUCAGGACCAGAGUCCCUCUGUACUGAAUUUAAGCACGAACUAGUAGGUUUCAGACAAGAAUUUGGGCGAAUUUAGCUAGGGUUUUCAUUGCAAGAGGAAGGGAAGGUAGUAGCACGCCACCGGCGGCUAGGGUUUACACCCAAUAAUUCUAUUACAUGCCUCGAAUGGAAGGGAAAGCUGGCUUAUAUAGCCAUUACAGUAGCUGUAAAGCAGAAAAGCAGAAAAGUGCAAGCACAUGGCUUGUCGGACGGUGAACAGCUUCUCCCGCGUCUUCUAAGCCGUUGGAUGGUUGAUCGACGGAGGAGAGAAACCCACUUAAGUGAACCGUUAGCUUGGCCCUGAGACCGUAGGAUUUGAGAUGGACGGCUGUCAAUGCAACUGACAUGCAGGAACAGGGGAACUUAAGAACUGAGCCUGACAGGUGCAUAUCAGGGUGAGCUUCCCCAAUCCUUAUUUCCCCUCCGCUCAUGAUCUCUCUCUCCUACCCAUCUUCUAUGCAAGAUUUGUGUAGCCUAAAGCCUUUGUAUGAUACGUGUAGGUAUACCUUUGGAAGAAAAAAUCAAUCAAAUGUUAAUUCUCCAAGGUAACUUGCCUUUUCUACGCAGGUACUGCUUGUUUAGUACUGUGGAUAGUACUGUGGAUAAGUAAAUGUAAGCAUGCCCCAAUAAUGAUACGAACAAGGUUUGAGAGGCUCAAUCAUUUUCAUUUAUACUAAGAAUUAACCAGUUCACUAAUUUCUAUGCUACUAAUAGUGUCGUCUGAAUAUAUCUACUACAUUCACUGCACUGUGCUUACAUUCACACUGAUUGUAGCUGCAAGUUAAGAUCUAAUUGUCCAAGAUAAUUCUGAGGACCUAACACAACGUGCGGUUUUGAACUAAGUGAUAUUUUCUGGCCUUACUCCCAUGUACUUUUAAAAUCAAUUUUAAUGAUAUCGAUAGGUUAAGGUCAUUCAUGAGGAGAGGUGUUGGGGCGGAGUCCCAGGUGUAGCUACUAUUGCCCUAUCAAUUCUGUAGUCACCUCUUUCUGAACAUUGGUUAGUUCUUCACGAGCGAUACUAUACUCUUGCUGCCUCUUAGUAUUCUCCGUUUAUUCUAAUAAGUGUAUGUGGACACACGCAGACAGUAACGGAACAAGCACAACAGUUCUCUUUGUGUUUUAGUGGGUAUAUGUGGAUGUACAGAAAGUGGUCUCUGUUUAUUAACGGGUUACAUGUUGCUGCAAUGAAAAUGUAUAUGGUGAUUUUCAUUCUGGUUUGCAGGGUAGUACAUGGAGCAUAGAAACUGAGUCGAAAGUCUGUCUUUUGUGCAGGAAUUUACUGCAGGUCUGAUCCCUUGCUCGUGCUCUCUGCUUGUCCUCACUCUGUAGACCUUUCCUUUGCUCGUAGCCAUACAUUUUAUUCAGAGUGCUGUCAAGACGCAUCUCCUCUGCCUAUAUGGCGGGCAGAGGGCCUAAGCUCUAGGUGAGCUCCUCCUCCACCCUACAAAUGUUGUAUUUGUUAUGAUGUUUCCAUUGUUAAUGUCUGCAAUCUAAUGCCUUGCUCUGCUAUUUUUAUUUCUAAUCUCAACAUACUCUGUACAGUGAUGAGUAUACCAUUUAACAUGUGCAUGAUGUUAAAAUUGUGUGAAUCUAAGGGCCUACAUGCUUCAUAAUCUGUAGCCAAGUUAUUUUAGGACUUUUUAUUUUGUGUGUGCGAGGAGAAAUUGUACUAUCUCUUCAUGAUUCAUCGUUUAUAUAUUAGUUGGAUAGUAUCUCUUUAUUCGGUUCUUGUGACUGACCUGCUGCUUUACUUAUAUGGACAGCUUAAACUGAAAUCAAUGCAUGGUAUUGUUCAAUUCGAAGUGUACUUGACGUGUGCAGAUCUGAGGAUAAAGGGAAGAAGACGGAAUUUAGCUGAGGAGUUGAAUAGGAUCAAGGUUAUUAUUCCACAAUCAUUUGUUGGGUUUAAGGAUAUAAACAACAUGGCUUACGAGGAUUUGGACUGCUGUUCUUUUAGUUCCACUCUUAAAUCUUUUGGUUCUUGAAGGCCUGCACUUUCCUGGUGGAGUAAGAGCAAAAUAAUUCAGAGGCUUUAAAGCUGCUGCACUUUAGUAGUUAGGAUUAAUUCUUUGUUUUGGUUUGAAAUGCUCCCCAAUUCCUCUUAUUUGAUUGAUUCAUCUGAUGGUCAUUUGUCAG
rnacentral:lncRNA from 1 species